UACGUAGGCAGCAAGCGUUGUUCGGAAUUACUGGGCGUAAAGCGUGUGUAGGCGGAUGCCUAAGUACCUUGUGAAAUCCCACGGCUCAACCGUGGAACUGCUUGGUAUACUGGGUGUCUUGAGCCAUCUAGGGGCUACCGGAACAAAUGGUGGAGCGGUGAAAUGCGUAGAUAUCAUUUGGAACGCCAAUGGUGAAAACAGGUAGCUGGGGAUGUGCUGACGCUGAGACACGAAAGCCAGGGGAGCAAACGGG
rnacentral:rRNA from 1 species